GCUGGGGUUGGAGCUCAGUGGUAGAGCACUUGCCUAAUAUGUGUGAGGCACUGGGUUUGAUCCUUCAAUCCUCAGCA
rnacentral:tRNA from 1 species